rnacentral:rRNA from 1 species
UAGGGAAUCUUCCGCAAUGGACGCAAGUCUGACGGAGCAACGCCGCGUGAGUGAAGAAGGAUUUCGGUUCGUAAAACUCUGUUGUUAGAGAAGAACAGCGCAUAGAGUAACUGUUAUGCGUGUGACGGUAUCUAACCAGAAAGCCACGGCUAACUACGUGCCAGCAGCCGCGGUAAUACGUAGGUGGCAAGCGUUGUCCGGAUUUAUUGGGCGUAAAGCGAGCGCAGGCGGUCAAUUAAGUCUGAUGUGAAAGCCCCCGGGUCAACCGGGGAGGGUCAUUGGAAACUGGUUGACUUGAGGGCAGAAGAGGAGAGUGGAAUUCCAUGUGUAGCGGUGAAAUGCGUAGAUAUAUGGAGGAACACCAGUGGCGAAAGCGACUUUCUGGUCUGUAACUGACGCUGAGGCUCGAAAGCGUGGGUAGCAAACAGG